UCGUAGCUCAAUGGAUAGAGCAACGGCCUUCUAAUCCGUAGGUUGUGGGUUCGAGUCCCACCGA
rnacentral:tRNA from 1 species